GCAAGGAUUUGGAUUUAUGGCAGGCCCAUCCUGUGUCUCUCACAGUGCCCCAUGCCAGAGCAAACUGUGCCCUUGAACCGUUGCUGGCCUCUGCCCACAGGCUGCAGGCACUGAAGCAGCUUACACAGUG